UCCUCGUUCAAAGGAUCGCAGUCGAAGCACACAAACGGAGCAGACCUCGUGUCUCUCAGCCCUUCAUGGGCUAGUCAAUGCUUUGGGAGAAAGUCCCCGGACGACCUUCACCUUGUGAAGGAACGCGGAAACGCGCCGCCAUAGAAGCACUGCGGCUUCUUUUUAUUUCUCCUCUCCUUCCUUUCCCACGCCGACCUUCGUCGCCGCUCGUACUCGCAUUCCGGACGUUUGAUUGCUGCUUCUGGGUGAGGGAGAGACAAUAUGGAUGAAGAUAUGAGUCCGCGCUCUCCUGAUCCUAGCUGUCGGUAGAGCACUUGAAACGAUUGCGGGGAGGCGGGGAAGUUUCCUCGGUCUGGGUUGGGGCUUAUGGGAGGGGGGAGGCUUUCGUCGAGAGUGAUAGUUAUGCGAUUGCCCUCUUGGUCUGCCUCGCGGUUGGCCCGGGGGGUAACUCGAUGGGGCUUAUUCUUGAGACGAGG
rnacentral:RNase_MRP_RNA from 2 species